GACAUUUUCUGGACUUUCUCUUUCAAGAGAUCUGCCUCCUUCCCUCCUUAGAGUAAACGGUCUUCGAGGUCUUCUUCCUCAUCUCCUCACCCCCAAAUACCUCUUAUUCUCCAGCCUGUCUGGACUCUGAAUGGGCAGAUUGUUUGUUUCUGAGUACUGUCUGGAUCUGGCUUCGGGUUUGGGUUUCUGACAGCUGGAGCCAAACCCAUCGAUUCUAAUCCUUCUUUCAUGAUGACUGCUGUUUAAAUCCCUGAAGACAUCUCUCAAGUCAUCCCACUAAUUUUUCAAGUGAGGAAACUGAGGCCAGCAAAGGCGAAAAGACUUGUCCUUAGUCCAACAUGUAGUAAAUCAAAGAGGCAGGAUUUGAAUCCAUCCUCUCUGACUCCAAAUCCAGGGCUUUUCCCCACUAGACCCUGUUGCUUGCUUUUCCAGGAUCAACGAUUCCAUUUUGUUUAACCGGCCUUUCUAGGGCACGGUUUUCAGUCCCUUCACCAUCCCUCUGGACUUGCUCUGGGCACCUUCCAGUUUGUCCAUGUUCUUCCCUAAAUGUGGUACCCAGAAUGGAAUGUGAACAGAUUGUGCAAGUCUGACUAGGGCAAAGGACUCUGGGAGCAUCACCUCCCUCGUUCUGGACGUGGAGCCUCUGUCAAGUCAACCCAAGCUCACAUUAGCUGGGAAAGUGGUUCACUUCUGGCCAUGCUCCCAGUGUGGCAAGUCGACCUGACUCUUGGUCUCUGCUUCUGGUCCAGCUCCAAGGAGCCAGGAGAAUGCCUUUCUUUGCAAGGGGUUGCCAAACCCAGCCCAUUAAAAAAACCCAGAAAAGC